UCUCCCCCACACCCCUCGUGUGUGUUUGCGCGUGCACGCACGUGCACACAGCAGGAUGAGAAGGGGAGGAGGUAGGAGGAUACCUGUGAAAUAAAUAUUUGUUUUAUUUUCAGUGAAAAAAAUAUAGGCCAAAAAUUAGAAAAUAGUGACACUUAUAAUCUCUUUGUAGAUAUUUGCAUUUAAGGUAUCAUCUUUUCUUUCUUUUAGAAAAUAGGCGAGUAACCAAGUCUGAUCCAAACCAACAUCUUACGAUUAUUCAAGAUCCUGAAUACAGACGGUUUGGCUGUACUGUAGAUAUGAACAUUGCACUAACGACUUUCAUACCACAUGACAAGGGGCCAGCAGCAAUUGAAGAAUGCUGUAAUUGGUUUCAUAAAAGAAUGGAGGAAUUAAAUUCAGAGAAGCAUCGACUCAUUAACUAUCAUCAGGAACAGGCAGUUAAUUGUCUUUUGGGAAAUGUGUUUUAUGAACGACUGGCUGGCCAUGGUCCAAAACUAGGACCUGUCACUAGAAAGCAUCCUUUAGUUACCAGGUAUUUUACUUUCCCAUUUGAAGAGAUAGACUUCUCCAUGGAAGAAUCUAUGAUUCAUCUCCCAAAUAAAGCUUGUUUUCUGAUGGCACACAAUGGAUGGGUAAUGGGAGAUGAUCCUCUUCGAAACUUUGCUGAGCCGG
rnacentral:sRNA from 1 species